GUUCAACGCCACUCAUUCCUGCGUCUAAAAACUUAACAAUUUUUUUUCUCUCAAAAUAUUAAGUGGUAAAAUAUGUAUUAAAAGUGAGAACAUCAUCAUGUCCCGUGGAUAUUUGUCAAUGUUUGUCAAAUACAGUUUGAUCUUGUUAACAAGCCUUGAAAAUGACGCCAUUUCAAGGCCAAAUGCAGUACAUUUAUUUAUAUUGAAAAUAUAAACCAUCAUCAUCAUCAUACUAUCCAUCAAAUCAUCAAGAUAAAUAAACAUUAAAUAUGAUUGCCAGUGCUCCAGUAUUUAUGUGCAUUGAUUAUGGAUGGGAGGUCGAUCGAUUAUAUUGUUGCAGCAGAGUUAGACAACAGAGACACAAAUAUAUAACAAGAGAGAAGGAGAGAGAGAGAGAAAGGUCAACGUUGCUGUUAAACACAAUGAGUGUUACACACGCAUUGCAUUGCACUACAGUCGUUCAUGAGUUACUGUCUUGCCACAUUGCCAGCAACGUAAAAUUUACCAUUAGCCAGAGAUUCAACAACCGAACUGGAAUUAAUCGAGGCGAUUUAUCGUCGACGUUACUGCUGGAGUGGAAAACUUUUUGGACUCGUUGGAU